GGCGCUUUCAUCUAACGGUUAGGAUACAAGAUUCUCAAUCUUGGCAUACGGGUUCGAUUCCCGUAAGCGCUAC
rnacentral:tRNA from 1 species